ensembl:lncRNA
AAAAAAAAAAAAAUUAUAUAUAUAUGUAUGUAUGUAUUUAUUGAUUUAAUAUAGUUUGAUUUUUAUAUUAUAAAUGCAUUAUAAAUUCAUUAUUUCAAUAGGUCGCUACAAUGUCCGCUUGCCACACUUCAUGUGCCAAAAAUGUCAUAUGAGCAGAGCAACCAGCAUCCCACUGUUGAUCAAGUCUGGUUACUGGCCUGCCACAGCAAGCUGUGAAACAAUAUAUAAAAUAGAUGUGUUUGUUUCCUAUGACCACAUGAAGCUGGCUGCUCCUGGAAUGUCUAGACAGUCCUUCACCGGUUUACUGGAACAGAGGACAGAGUUCUUCGGCAGAGUAAUAAUUGAAUGAAUUACCGAAUAAUUUAUAUUUCAUCUUUUCAGUUUUGGGAAUGAGAUAUGUCUUAUAGGUUUUAUGAUUUCGUUUUUUGUUUGUGUUGUUUUUUUUAGGAAGGAAAAAUAUGUGCAGAUGCUUUUCAAAGAAGUUUUUUCGAAUGGAGAUACUGCCAGUUUGAAAUUGAUCAGCUCUGUGGACUGAAAGUGUUUGACUGUCCAGCCUGUUCUCCAUUUAUGCUCGCUGUGUCCGUAGAUGGUAACAGGAAAUUGUAUCGCUUCAAAAGAGGGCAUGAAGAUCAUGGCCUGUUCGAGGGUGUCUUUGUCUGUAAAGAUGAAGAUGUUUCCAAGUUUGUGGACUACAUUAAUGCUAAGACAAAGCACUCAGCUGGAAAAGGUGUCUGUGGAUCAAGUCAAUGGAGUGCAGCACGGGAGUCUGUCCCAAAGAAAAUCAACAAGCUGGAUGAGGAGGGGAUGGAGGUGGCUGUCUGUCGACAUGGUGUGCUCCUGAGAAGUCUGAACAUGAUGAGGGGGGAAAUAUUUGCGUAUCCCCUGUUUCUCCAAAAAGAGCUGACUGCAAAGAAUGUGCAGUUCAUGUGCACUGAUGUUAUAUGCAAGUACUGGCCAUACCUGCAGAGAAUUGUUAAAGAUUGUCCAGAGCUCUCUCCUCUCCUGGACAUGAAGCCUUUCCUGUCAGUGAUGCAUGCAAAGGCCCACUCUUGGAAAUGUGAGAUUAAAUGGGGUGGUCGAAACCAAGAAGGAGCAGGCACCACCCUGGGGGAAGAGGUCGAACAAGUUAACAGCUUUUUGUCGAGAACUGCUAUAUGCAGUAAAUACAUGACCAAAGGAGGCAAGUAUAUAACUGCAAAGAUAUACAAUCCAAAGUUAGAAGUCAAAGCUACUUACAAAAAAAAUAUUUGAACAGCCUUAGUAUUCAACUUUUGCAUGAUCCU